rnacentral:rRNA from 1 species
GAACGGUAGCACAGAGGAGCUUGCUCCUUGGGUGACGAGUGGCGGACGGGUGAGUAAUGUCUGGGAAACUGCCCGAUGGAGGGGGAUAACUACUGGAAACGGUAGCUAAUACCGCAUAACGUCUUCGGACCAAAGUGGGGGACCUUCGGGCCUCACACCAUCGGAUGUGCCCAGAUGGGAUUAGCUAGUAGGUGGGGUAAUGGCUCACCUAGGCGACGAUCCCUAGCUGGUCUGAGAGGAUGACCAGCCACACUGGAACUGAAACACAGUCCAGACUCCUACGGGAGGCAGCAGUGGGGAAUAUUGCACAAUGGGCGCAAGCCUGAUGCAGCCAUGCCGCGUGUAUGAAGAAGGCCUUCGGGUUGUAAAGUACUUUCAGCGGGGAGGAAGGCGAUGUGGUUAAUAACCGCAUCGAUUGACGUUACCCGCAGAAGAAGCACCGGCUAACUCCGUG